GAGUCACCACGACCUAGGGUUUGGGCUGAAGUCUAAGGGAUAUAAGGCACAGUCAGUAGCACACUCAGGUGCCGUUCUUCCUUGGCCCACUGAGGAAGCUGCAGCUAUGGCCCUGUGGGGUCAGACUUUGAAGAGCCAAGCCCAGGGUUGGUGUAUCCAGAUCCCCACAUGCCACCAGGCCUGAGGCCAGAACAGGCUUGGGCCUGGAUGCUCAUUAAUUUCAAGGCACUGUGCCACCAUUCUGGCCAGAGACGUGGAGAGGUUCACUCCCACGAAAGCCAGCCGCUGCCCUGGGUUUCCACCAAAGAGGGAGCUACUCCUGCAAUACUCAGGAGACAAAAAUGCCAUGGACAACCACAUGUGCAAGACCAGACUGCCAACACCACAAUGGAGGUGCAGUCAGCUCAAGGGGAUGCACAAGCUAAGGUCAGCUGGGCACAACCAACCCUGACCUAGCCAGGAGAUGUGGGCAUCAGUGGCGGAGGUGGACAGAUCCAGGCCCAGAGCGACUGCUGCAGUCCAGCUCAGCCCAGGAAGCUGCUCAAGACCCAGGCACACCACAGCCAGGAAGCCCAAGAGGAGAGCAAGCCCAGCCUUCGGGAAGCCUCACCGCACGAUGCCCUUCCAUUGAGGCCCUGGGAGGAGCCCUGCAAGCUGCAGUGGGGACCUUCCCACUGUCCCCUGUGGACUCCUGAGCUCCACCUGCCCCCUGCACCCCUUCCGCCCUUGAGGUCUCUGCCCCGCAGAGCCCCCCUCACUGUGCUCUUCCCCUCCUGAACCACCUUUGCCAACUUUGUGCAGGAGAAAGGAAGGACUCCCCACAGGGAGUUAGUAGUAUGCUCAAGACCUCUUCAAGCUGGGCAGAUUUGUCACUAUUGUUGUCUCGCUCAAAUUACGUGAUGAAUAAAUCUUUCCCUCAUUCACCA